UAGGGAAUCUUCCACAAUGGGACGCAGGUCUGAUGGAGCAACGCCGCGUGAGUGAAGAAGGUCUUCGGAUCGUAAACUCUGUUGUUAGAGAAGAACACGAGUGAGAGUAACUGUUCAUUCGAUGACGGUAUCUAACCAGCCAAGUCACGGCUAACUACGUGGCAG
rnacentral:rRNA from 1 species